UCCGUGUUCGCGUAGAUCCUGGGUUUCGCGCGCUUUCUCAAAUAGCUUUUAUAGUUGGGCUCGUGGAGCCAGUCUGCGUUUCAAUCGAAGAGCUUACGGUUGGCGGAAAGCGCGCUAUGGAAAGCGAAUACGAAAGGUGGACUUCAGCCACAUGCUCUGGGCCUGCCCGGUGGCCCCCGUGAGGGUCGAAUUCCCAGACGGGCGGGGAUGGAAGGCCACGCUCCUCAGCUCCGACCCACAAAAAAGGCACGCUCAAUCCGACAGGCCGAAGAUGCCGCCAGGGCGCAUGGGAUCAUGGCCGACGACUAGGUUGAUCCCCCCCCCCCUCUCCUGCAAG